rnacentral:rRNA from 1 species
UACGUAGGGACCGAGCGUUGUCCGGAAUCAUUGGGCGUAAAGAGCGUGUAGGCGGCCACUUAAGUCCUGCGUGAAAUCUUGCGGCUCAACCGCAAGCGGUCGUGGGAAACUGGGUGGCUAGAGUGCGGGAGAGGAGAGUGGAAUUCCUGGUGUAGCGGUGGAAUGCGCAGAUAUCAGGAAGAACACCCGUGGCGAAGGCGGCUCUCUGGAACGCAACUGACGCUGAGACGCGAAAGCGUGGGGAGCAAGCAGG